rnacentral:rRNA from 1 species
UGAGUAACCUGCCCUUAACUCUGGGAUAAGCCUGGGAAACUGGGUCUAAUACCGGAUAUGACUCCUCAUCGCAUGGUGGGGGGUGGAAAGCUUUUUUGUGGUUUUGGAUGGACUCGCGGCCUAUCAGCUUGUUGGUGAGGUAAUGGCUCACCAAGGCGACGACGGGUAGCCGGCCUGAGAGGGUGACCGGCCACACUGGGACUGAGACACGGCCCAGACUCCGUACGGGAGCAG